CGGAAGUGGACGGAGGCCGGUUAGCUCCGUAACACAUGCGCUAAUGGAAGCCGGGCGUCUGCAGGAAUGCGUGUGCCUACUACACAAAGGACUACAAUUUUCUGUGUAAACGGGAUUUACCCUUACAUAAAAGGCUGAGGGAAGAAUCUGCUAAGUAAGAGCCCCUUAGCAAAUCUGGGAGCCAACCUAUGUUUUCCAAAGUCUUCAGUGAGAAGAGAUUUCACAAUACCACAGAGCAGAACAUAAAGAGCAACACCCCUUACAAGAGUUGGAACAACUUUAUAAGAAGUCACCAGCAGGCAAACAACGUCGUCAUUCACAAUGAGAACGUAUCACUUAUAACAGGAAAUGUAUGCAUCAGAAGCACCCCUCCUCCAUUGCUUUCCAGAAGAAUAAGGACUACAUAGAAACCCUGAAGAAAAAAAGCAUUUGAGGACAGCAGUUCUUCUGCCAAGUUUGGAAACUGCAAAUACACACAAUUACAAGAAUGUGAUCAAGGACAGAGCAAAAGUUAAAUAUUUAACAGGAAAGUGGAGAGCAGAAUAAAGAAAACUCAUUAGCUGCAUGUCUGAUCUAUGAAGGCUUCCUACUAUUAAUAGAAAGCAGAUUAGUGGAAGUGUAACCCCGCUCAACCCAUGGACCUCCAAUCAGAAGAAUCCAAGCUCAACACAAACAGAUGACCAGAUGACCAACGCUUCUAAUGCAGUGAAGAAGGCUACCCAUUCCUCAGCAUCCCGUGGUUGGAAGAUGACAAGGAUCAAGUUGUCAAGACUGGGUUUGGAUGACAUCGCGAGACAGGAGAACCCAGAACCAAAGGAUUCCCUCCAAAAUUUUGGAAAAGGCUUUUGGACACCACAAAGGACGCUUUAAAUAAUCUGUCUCAAGAGAAGCUACAAAUGAGGACAGAAGCUCCAUCAAUUGCCUAAGCCCUAGACUAUCCCUUUACUGGCAACAGUAGAGUCGGUGCUAUAGCUACAUAGUGAACAAUGCGGCAAUAUAAACCAUGAUCUAUCUAAGCUGACAGCAAGAAUCUAGGGCUACCUAUUGUAAACUUAAUAACUUGUGAAUACUGAGCUUAGAGGAUUACCAAUCCAGCAAGCAACUCUAAUGUGGUUUUCUGGUAUUAGGAUCAAGAGGUGGAAUGUUAUGGACAUGAAAAUGACAUACAUUUUAUCUGCUAUAUUUGUGAUCCUAGACGAAGAAAGCCACAUGGGUUUAGACAAAGGAAAGAUGGAGUCUCUUACCUGGGGUCUCCUAGUCAUGUUCUUUAGACAAAGACCACUUGUGGGUGGGCUAAGGGGCGGAGAAAACAUAAUAAAAGCCCAUUGAAUAGGGGGCAAGUUAUCUUUUCUCUUCCUGGGCUGCAUACCAACACACCUUUCCAUUCAGCUUCCUGAUUGGGCCUUAUCCUGAGACAAAGGACUGCAGCCUUUCUCAUGCCGGGCAUAUGUUCAUCAUACUUGCUGUAAAAGGUUCCCCGAAGCUAAGU